GGUUGAGCCCAGCUGAUUCAUGGUACAUCAGACACAUGACAUCCUUCUUCUAUAUCCAUGUCCCCAACUGUAGCUCUGCCAGGGAAUUCCGAGAAACCAGGAUGGAGGCUUUUGUGCUAAGAUCUGUCUUUUAUCCAUUUAAAUUACAAUACUGGAAUAAUUAUGUAUGUGUAAAAACUGUCAAAAGUAUACUUAAAUGAUACCUUUGCCGUGUACUAAAAUUACUUUUCAUUAUGACCUAUUUGUACAUCGUUUGAACUAAAUAUCUCAGCCUAGAAAUGUAAACGUGUUUUGUUUUUGCUCUGCAGGUUAGGUCAGCAGACGUCUGAAACAAAUACGAUUGCAAGGGUGAAAGUGACAUGAUUUACUUAAAUCAGGCAAUUUCUCCAUGAAAGCAUUGAAGCCUCAACUCAUAAAGACACUCUUCAGCAGAUGAGCUGUAAGGUUGUCCAGCAUUUGUCAUAUUAGGUGAUUUGAAAGGAAAGAACAAUUAUAAAAAUGAAUGUAAUUCUCUGUUGAAGAAAAAAUAAUCCAGUUUUUGCAGCAGGGGGCCACAGAUUAAAAACAGAUUUCACAGCAAUUCGGCUGCUAUAACAUUAUACAAUUAAAACGUAAGAAGAAACAGCUCUCGUGCCAAAGAAGACAGUUGUGGGAAUUAGUUUGUUUGGGGACGGGGAGGCAGGUUCCCCCUGCAGCAUCAAAGGUUAUUUUGUUUCCCCUAGGAACAGCACUGUUGCCAUAAACGGUGCUGGUUUGCUUCCAACCCCCAUCUUCCCCGCUUUUCUGAGCUGCUUUCAAUUAGCAGGGAUUAUUAAACUGGAAACAUUUUAAACUGCUGCCGAAGCGGCUUUCCGGCCUUAUGAGCUGAGGCCUUAUGAGCCGAGCUAGAGGCGUCACAAUAAAGCUGAUUGAUUAGGGAGGAAUGUACUGAUAGCAACUAAUGCCCAGUGUCUUUUUCUAUGCGUUUCACAGUCUACUCUUUCCCCACUGAACUGUGUGUCUUCAUGGGGAGUUUGACUUUGCUUCUCUCUCUGGUGCCUUCUGGAGCCUGGAGGCUCUCAACUUCCAUUUCAACUGCCUGACCUGGGCCAGCCAUAUCUCCAUGACCCAUCUCCCACCUGGACCCAUUGCUAGGGUGGGCGGAUCCCAGAGGCCAGGCUGUUGGAUUUCUGCAUGACUGGCCUUUUUCUCUUUGCAGUUUAAUUGUCGGGACAUCAGACUAACAGUGACAAUAACACAUCUCUGCAAAAUAUAGGCCACAGAGCGCUGGUGGAGGUAGAGGUGGGGGCAGGUGUAUGUGUCUUGUUGGAGGGUUUCAAAAAUGGAAGACAUUUCCCUAAAGUUUGAUCGUCAAUGACCUUGUCUUCUAGUGAUCUUCCUUUAAGUUUCUUGUGUGCAUAUCUGAUUUCUCCAACUAAACUAAUUAAUUUAUUUGAUAACGCAUACUACUUGGUUAGCAUUGUGAUAAAUUUUUAAAGGUAUUUACUUUUUAUGUUUAAUUCUAGCAACAAAUCCCUGAUUUGUUGGUAGAAUCGGUACAGUUAACAUCCCCAUUUUAAGAUGAGUAAACUGAGGCCUGUGGGUGGGAAAGGCCGACUUCAAAAUGAGGCAGAACGCUUCACCACUAUAUUGCUUCUUGCAUUAAACCUUUUCCUGCUCUGAGUGAGCGGGGUGGAACCGAUCCUCUAUUCCUCCCCAGGUCAUUCACUACUUAAAAAAAAAAUCCAUGGAUUCUUUUAAUACAUGCUUGUUGUGUGUGUCCAGGCUCUGAGGAUGGUGGU
rnacentral:lncRNA from 10 species